UCUUGUAAUUCCUCGGUAAUCCGUGCACUCAUAGCAUCGUCGAUUAGGCGAGUGUCUAAAACCUUUAUCGCUUUAUCGGAGUGUGCGACAAAAUCAUUGGAUGCCAUAGGCAACUCAGUAAAAGUAACGUCAAUUGACAUAGCAUUAUGAUGCACUUCUGUCUUGAUCAGCGGAUCACUCACCUCAAUACGACAGCACUCAUCGUCUGUUGUAAACAACAAAUCGAGAAAUCUGUUGUUUUGAUUCGGGAUACCGCAAAUUUGGAAAAAGCCACAAGCAGCCAUCGAAUCAACGAACAGUUCUUCUUCUGGCUGGCGUACUUGAUAAGGUGACGAUGAAUCUACAAUAUUGCGGAUGCUUUCUACGUAUGAUGCAUAGCGACCAAAAUGCGAAUCAGGAGGACGAUUCGAAAAUAACGUUACUAUAAAACUUCUGAUUAACAGCAAUCAGUACACCACCGCCGCUGGUUUUAUCAGAAUUCGAUGAGGAUCUAUCGCAACGAAAGCAUAAACAUCGAAAUCACGCUCCAGUGCGGACAUGAAGACAGCUUCGAGCCGGCUACUGCUUCGGAUACUAUUCAUAUUCUGAUGAAUCACGCAAGCAACAGUUAUACACUUCUGGACAAGUAGAAUCAUCAAGUAACGGUGAAAAACGAGGCGAAGCAGAAUAUCGGGGAUUACUCGUUUGGCUGGCUUGGCGGGGGAAUAGGAAAUAAUUUCGGCUGAAUCCCGCGAGUGAAUUCAAACUCACGGAAAUAAAUACCCUUCUGCCAAGAUGAGGCAGACAUAGCUUUUUCUUUAUAUUCCGAUCCAAUUCCAACCUUGAAAGACACUUAGCUAAGCUCUUCCAGUCUUCUAUCCCGAGGAACAAGUUUAACGAUAUCAAUUGCGGAUUCCGGUUCAAUUUCCAAAUUGCU